GAAUAAAGUCAUAGGUUUACGAGAAAAAAAAAAGUCCUAGUAUUAUGAGAAUAAAAUCAUAAUAUUAUAAAGUAGUACUUUGACGUAUUAUUUUAGAGAGGAAAUAGAGCAACCUGUGUGAAAAUGAGGAACGUGGAGCAUCUUGUGAAGUUAUACUAUUGUUAUAUGUUUCACAAAUAAGGAA